rnacentral:rRNA from 1 species
CCUACGGGUGGCAGCAGUGGGGAAUAUUGCGCAAUGGGCGAAAGCCUGACGCAGCGACGCCGCGUGAGGGAUGAAGGUCUUCGGAUCGUAAACCUCUGUCAGCAGGGAAGAACGGUCACUGUGCUAAUCAGCAGUGAAUUGACGGUACCGGCAAAGGAAGCACCGGAUAACUCCGGGCCAGCAGCCGCGGUAAUACGGAGGGUGAGAGCGUGAAUCGGAAUUACGGGGCGUAAAGCGGUCGUAGGCGGUAUGUCAAGUCAAGGGUGAAAUCCCCGGGCUCAACGUGGGAACUGCCUUUGAAACUGGCUAGCUGGAGUGUGUGAGAGGCUAGUGGAAUUCCAGGUGUAGGGGUGAAAUCCGUAGAUAUCUGGAGGAACAUCGGUGGCGAAGGCGACUAUCUGGCACAUAACUGACGCUGAGGAGCGAAAGCGUGGGGAGCAAACAGGAUUAGAUACCCGUGUAGUC